rnacentral:tRNA from 2 species
CGGGGUGUAGCGCAGUCUGGUAGCGCACUUGCUUUGGGAGCAAGAUGUCGGGGGUUCGAAUCCCUCCACCCCGA